GCCAAUGGAAAUUUCAACUCUAGUUCUCCGACUGAGCCAGCAGGGGGGAAAAACACCUUAUUGUUGAGCCCAUUUUUUACAUGAACCGUGAUCCAGAACCAGACCUGAUGCUUGGAUUCAGACCGGCGUUCCCUUGCAUGUCACAUGGAUCAGCACCCUCCAGGCAUCAGGUGCUCUAAUGAAUUAAUCUUCCAUCUCAUCUAUAAACCAGUAUACUUCAGUGCCCACAGCGCCCUUCACUGACUAAUCCUCAGGCAGGUGGUCACCAAACACACAGCAGCAGCCAGUCAAUCAUCGACCAAAACCAGCCAAAGAUAAGCUGCAAAACUAGAAAACA